AACGCACAUUGCGCCCCUUGGUAUUCCGAGGGGCAUGCCUGUUCGAGCGUCAUUACACCACUCAAGCCUCGCUUGGUAUUGGGCGCCGCGGUCCGCCGCGCGCCUCAAUGUUUCCGGCUGAGCUCUCUGUCUCUAAGCGUUGUGGUUAAAACUAUCCGCUUGCGAGAUCGGGGGGCGUCUGGCCGUUAAACCAUUACUCAAAGGUUGACCUCGGAUCAGGUAGGGAUACCCGCUGAACUUAAGCAUAUCAAUAAGCGGAGGAUGACACACUGCAGUCAGUCUUGUGAAUCAUCGAGUCUUUGAACGCACAUUGCGCCCUUUGGCAUUCCGAAGGGCAUGCCUGUUCGAGCGUCAUUAUCACCCCUCAAGCUCGGCUUGUAGUUGGACGUCGGUGGUCGUUUUAUCGGUCACCCGCCCCAAAGAUAAUGACGGCGUCUGUGAGGACUCCAGUACACUGAGCUUCUUCGGAGCACGUAUUGGCUAGAAGUCCAGGCCCGGUCUCACCUAUUAUUUUUAUAAAGUUGACCUCGGAUCAGGUAGGGAUACCCGCUGAACUUAA
rnacentral:misc_RNA from 1 species